rnacentral:tRNA from 1 species
AACCAAUGAGUCUGAACAGACGCACGCCUUGAAAGCGUGAAAUAGAGGUAAACCCCUCUACUGGUUU